UACGGAGGGUGCGAGCGUUGUCCGGAAUCAUUGGGCGUAAAGGGCGUGUAGGCGGGCAGGUAAGUCGGGCGUGAAAUCCCUGAGCUCAACUCAGGAACUGCACUCGAAACUACUUGUCUUGAGUACCGGAGAGGAAAGCGGAAUACCUGGUGUAGAGGUGAAAUUCGUAGAUAUCAGGUGGAACACCAGUGGCGAAGGCGGCUUUCUGGACGGUAACUGACGCUGAGACGCGAAAGCGUGGGGAGCAAACAGG
rnacentral:rRNA from 1 species